GUUAGGUGUGGUGGUGUACACCUGUAGUCUCAGCUACUUGGGGAGGCUGAGGCAGGAGUAUUGCUUGAGCCCAGGAAUUUGAGACUGCAGUGAACCAUGAUUGUGCCACUGCAUUUCAGCCUGGGCAAUAGAGCAAGACCCUGUCUCAA
rnacentral:SRP_RNA from 1 species